rnacentral:lncRNA from 1 species
GGGUGGUGGCAAUGUCCUAGUGGAGUAUCAGGAGGUCCCACUGUCCGACUGAGAGAGAUCCUUCCAUCUUUAAAGCAAAGACAUCCAGGUGCUGUUCACUGAGAGUCAGCCCUACUAGCUCCAGACAAGCACUGCAAGUCUCAGAGUCCAGCAUGAGGUGAGAGAAACACCCACUCAGUCUUUCAGCCUAAGAUGAACAACAGCAUUGAUCUGGUAAAAAAUGUUCCAGCACUGGUGUCAGCAGAGAUUAAACCAUCCAACACUCAGUUUGGCAGAAGAAAAGAUCAAUCUCUGACAGUGGUUACGGGCAACACGAUUCAGCCGUCCAGAAGUGAUGAGUGCACACUGGAGAGCGUGACACUGAUGAUGAGCUGGGAUUGCCUGUCCCACCCUGUCCCCUUCCAGGCAGCGUGUCUCAGCCAAGUGCUGUGCUCAGGGAGCUUCCAGAGAGCCACAGCUGUUAUACUUAGGAGAUGCUUACACUACAGAGGGAUCCUCACAGGGAACAAAGGUGACUCUGGUAAGGAAAGAAUUACUUUAAGGGAAACUGAGGUCCCUUCUACAGACAGUAGGCAGGAAGAAAGCAAUUAAGCAAAGCAACCGCUACAUAAUCUGCAUUGUUAAUGUACUAUGUGAGAUCUCUGCAGAAAGCUGGCAGCAGACCACCAAUUUAACAGAAUUUAUGUUUAGCAAAGUCUUCUAUAAUAUCAAACAGUCAGAAUGAGGUUUCUAAGAAGGGAUUAGAAAUAUAAAUUAGAGAUUGGAGGGGAGCAGAAAGAAAAGUUUGAGUGUAAGAAAUUUGGAGAUAGGAGCACCAGAAAUGAGUCAAGGAAAAGAAAGACGAAUAAUAUUUAUCUAAUUUGCUUUAAAAGACAAAAAUAUUUCUGAGUUCAGAGGAAAUGCCACUUGCUGUCACAAAGAAAGGAAAUUGUUUUCCUGACUUUAUCUUACAUGUAUUGCAUCUUACAGUUCCUACCACCUCUUUCUGGCCUUCUUUAGGAAUGGUAGGUAUUGGUUGCAGUAGUAUUAGAUAUAAAUCAAAGCCUUCAAAGGUGGGGGACUCAGAGCCACUGUCGGCUUCUUUUAGAAACUCUUUCAAAUUACCAUCCUGACCAUAUCCCAUGUUAACUUGGACACAAGGUGUUUUCUUAACUUCAGGAAGGGGUGACUGUGAUGGGACCUCAGCCACUGCAUCCUUAGGCUGUUGUAGAAGAAACCUCGAUCUGCACUUCUUUGUAUGUAGGCAGUUACGCACGGGCACACGAUCCAUGCCAGUCACUGAAGCUUAACUGUAGUCAGGCUUCUGCAGAAAAAAAUAGUGCAGACAACUCAUUAAAAUCUUGUUCUGCUGUUUGCAAGCAAAAUAGAUUGGCAAUUUCAGAAAAAAAAUCAAACAAAAACAGCAACCAACAGCCAAAACCACACAGCUCUACAUAGAACAGUUAGUUAAUGAUAAUUGUUAUUUUUACUGUAUGUGCUCUUAAAAUUCCCUUUCUGGAGUUUUCAAGUAAUUUUGCACAGUGACAUAUAAUUGGUUCCAGUUCAGUAAAUUGAUUGCAUUGGAUUCAAUUGUUAAUUGCAGUUACUGUUGCAGAAACAAAACACAGUUCAUCUCUUUAUGAAGUGCAGCAGCCACCUCUCACGUGAAAUAAACAAAGCAAUUUUUUUAAUUUGGAAAGUCAAAGUUAUCUUUAGGAGAAAAAAAGUAUUAAAGAAGAAUUCAAAGACAUUCAAAGAUAAAUCAGGGGAUUUAAGAUAGAUGGACUUAAUUGCCUAAGUUGAAAAUUUCAAUAUGCAACUGCUCAGUACUGUAGCAGCCCAGGCUUAGCAGCUGCCUCCUUUUUAAUUCAAUCAUUCCUCCAGUGUCCACAGUUCUGCUUUUUGCUCUGCCAAGAGCUGUUCCAGCUCCAAUAACUAUUCAUCUGUUUCUUAUCUAAGUCUGAUGCUGUCCAGAAACCAGGCAAAGCGUCACUUCUGUUCCCAAGGAGUCUAUUGCAUGCCCACCAUGUGCUUCACGUGCAUUCAGAGGAUUGGCCCAUUGUUUCUUCAUUCAAGGGUGACUGGCACAGGCUGCCCAGAAAAGCUGCAGUGUCUUUGUCCUUCAAAACCCGACCAGAUACAUCCCUGAUCAACCUGCCCCAGCUGACCUUGCUCGGAGCUGGGAAUUUGGACCAGAAGAUCUCCAAAGAUCCCAUCCAUCCUCAAUCUUUGGGUGGUUCUAAGAGUAAGGAGAGCGGAGUACAGGUUUCUUUUGCACUGAGAAAUCCCGUCCUUUUCACUGAUGGCAUAUGAUGACAGAGAACAGUCUGUUCUGGAGUAGAUUCUGUGGAAGUCUGGAUGAAACAACUUCUAGAGUAACUUACUUGCUGGAAAAUAUGAUUUCAAGUGACUCCUGCCUUUCAAGUUUGAUAGGAUUGAUUCUGUGAGAACGCCUGGCUUCAUUUAUGUAAUUAUCUUCAUUAAUGCCAAGAAGAUUCAAUACAGGUUGUUUGCUGGAUGCUUGUCAGUAAGGACUGCAGUGACCCAGAAGAAUUGGUGCUCAGAAGUGUCAAGCUUCUCAUUAUCCCUGCAAAAGUCAUGAAAAAUUACCUUUGGCUGGCACCAUUUCCAAAUUCUUGGAAGUGGAAGCCCUUGUUUAUUGUUCUGUUCUUCAAGAAAGUUCUACUUUGGCAUAGGAAAAGAACUAUGUGAAAUAUCAGUUGUGUCUUCAUUAGGAUGAUACAGAGGACCACCUCAGUGAAUGAUGGACAAAAACAAAAGCUACAGGAUCCUUUGCACAGGAUCUUCAGGUCCUUCACUGCUCCUAAAUUCAAACCCUUGGUGCCAAGCUGAGGGUAUCUUUUAGUUUGGGACCUCCCUGCUUGGCACCUCUUAAAUUUUGCCUGUGAAAGACUGUAUAGAAACAGAUGUUUCUGCCGAAUGUAAC